CCAUGAAGAGCAAGCCAUGAAGAGCAAGCCAUGAAGAGCAAGCCAUGAAGAGCAAGUCAUGAAGAGCAAGCCAGUGAGCAGCAUCCCUCCACGGCCUCUGCAUCUGCUCCUACCUCCAGAUUCCUGCCCUGUUUGAGUUCCUGCCCUGACUUCCUUUGAUGAUGAACAGCGAUGUGGAAGUGUAAGCCAAGUAAACGCUUUCUUCUAUAGCUUGCUUUUGGAUCAUGGUGUUUCGUCACAGCAAUAGAAACCCUAAGACAAGCACCGUUUUUCUUCUUGAUAUUGUAUGCGAGGGGGCGCAGCAAAGUAACCACAGACAUGACCUCUCCAUUAGGGGGAGGGUUCUUAUUGUGGAUAAGAGAGAGGAACUAUCCAGAGGCAUCUGGAAGACUCUAGAGAAGAGAGAGAAAAAAAGCACUGUACAUGGCCAGGGUUAGGGAAGCGGGGAAGAGAGAAGAUGCAGUGAGAGAGGAGAGGAGAGGAGAGGAGAGAGAGAGAGAAGGUAGUCAGAGGGCUUGGGCAUGGGGACUUGUAAAGGGACUGAGUAGCUUAGGGGAGGGACUCCUGGGGAUAAAAAGCCAUUUCACAAGUUCCUGCCGAACGCUGAAACCCUAUAGUCUAGCUUGAGCUCAUUUCUAGACAAACAGAGGGCCUGAGACCUAGCAGGUAUCUAGAACAUCUUACUGAUUUCUGCAAAUAUCAGAUAUAACAAUCUGCACUUAUUAACUAGGAUCUUACUAAGUAGGUUUAUGCAAGGUACCCACGAAGAAAGCAUCACAAGGUGAUGUGCGCGUACCUCUUGGCUGUUGCAAAGGCAUAGGUGGCAGCUUGUGGACUGGGUUGUCUGAGUUUGACUCAGCUUCCUGUAGGCGGCAUUUUUGGUCGGGACCACGGAUUCCCCAAUAAACAACACAGAGACUUACUAAUUAUAAAUGCUCUGACGAUAGCUAAGGCUUGUUACUAACUAGCUCUCACAACUUAAAUUAACCCAUUUCUAUUAGUUUGCAUGCUGUCACAUGGCUCAUGGCUUGUUGCCUCGUUUUCUACAAGUCCUGCUCCCUCUGUGUCUGGCUGGCGACUCUGCCCUUCUUCCCCAAGUUCUCUGUCUCGCUCUCCCGUCUAACCUCUUUCUGCCUAGCUAUUGGCCAGCUGGCUCUCAAUUAAACAAAUGAGAGCGACAUGUCUUCACAGUGUACAAAGGGAUUAUUCCACAGCAGCUUCCACGCCCAUGUCCUCGUCUGGCAGACACUCUGUGCCUCAGUUUCUUGUCUUUGUUUUUUGACACGGAGUCUCAUCUCUCUCAGGGUUGCCUCUAGCUGUCUCUGUCACUGAGGAUGAUUUUGAACUCCUGAUCUUCCUGCUUCUACCUCUUACGUGCUGGGAUUACAGGUAUGUGCAAUGCCCUCCAGCCUCUGCAGUGUGGGUGCUCGAACCCAGAGCCAAGCAAGCACUCGACCAACUGAGCCAAAUCUCCAGUCCAUCUGUGCCUCAGUUUGGUAUUUUCUUUCUCCUCAAUGAGUGAGUGUCUGUGCCCACCACGAAGUCCACUGCUCCGGCUCCGUUCUCCUCCCAGAAGGAGUGAGAUUGACCCCAAGAGUCGCUACACUGGGGCAGGCAGUGUGUUGGCAGGGGUGGUGCUGGCCAAGGGUAACAGGCACAGACGACAACAUUCCUGGUGUUCUUCUAAGGGCCCGGAGUUUAGGAGACAAAGAACUUCAGGGGUGCCGGUCGAGUGAAGACUGUGUGUACACGCCUAAAUCGAUCCCCGCUGCAGGGACCGGGCAGGGUGCCCAGCACCUCACACGCACGGUUUCGAUUCUUCCUGUUCUGUUAACAUUUCCAAGGCAGCAGAGCUGAGGCCAGGAAUCGAAACCAAAGUCCCUCAGACUCCCUGGAGCUCCGCACUGUCAGCCUGGUGUUAAGAAAUCCGGAACAGGAAAGAGGCAGCCGGCAGUGAAAGCCGGUUAGUACUGGUUUCUUGAGCUGCUCCACCCAGGCACAACUUCCUGGAAACCAGCCUGUCCUGGGGCCACAGCACACAGGAAGCCUUCCCCAGGCAAGGAAGGAAAUGAAGGGGAACAGGAAGAAGCUAUUAAACCUGGAAUUCAGUUGUCUUCCCUGCUGAGUGUCAAGAAAUUCCAGCACCACUGAUAAAGCCAAUUAUCUGCAGAGAUAAUUUGUGUGUCUUCCCAAAGACAACUCAAACAUAGCAAAUGAAGAGUGUUAAGUCACAAACCCUGGGACAAAAGGCUGAGAUACCUUAACAUAUCAAAGCCAACCUAGUUCCAGGUUCUCCCUUGCACCCUCAGCCCCUACAGGGUCCUUCUGGCUUGCAGGCCCCUCCCCCUCCCCAAACUUCUCCAGCCCAGGGGGCUGGGCUGCCCUUCCCCAUAUUUUCCAAUUGUUUCGGUUACCCGCUGAAGUUGGGCCUCCUGGCCGCUGCACUGGGAUCCCCCUCUCCUCACAUGGCUCUGCUUUGGGUCAGAAUGUUUGUAACCUUGAGUUUCAGCCUGUUGGCACAAUAGCUCAAGCUGCACACUCCAGGGAGCCAGGGCACAAUUUCAUUUACAAAGGAACCUCCUAGUGAGGAAAACUAGUAGACACAGCCAGAUGCUUGUAUUUAAGCUUUACUUAAUCUUUUCAAACUUGUGAAUUAUGCUCUUUAGACAAUAGAACUUAGGAAGUCACAGGAUCCUCAGCCCGGCAGUGACGGUGUGGACCUUUAAUUCCAGCACUUGGGAGGCAGAGGCAAGAGGAUCUCUGUGAGAUUGAGACCAGAGUGGUCUACAGAGUGAGCCAGAGACAGAGCUAUCUACAGUACAGCCAGAACUACACAGAGAAACCCUGUCUGGGGGCCACGUGUGGGCUGGGGGGAAGAAAGCCACAGGAUCCAUAUAAAGAUGUGACUCUCCCUUGAGAAGCCCAUACUCACACGAGGGUAUAUAUUAAUCUUUUCCAAAGUGCCUCUCUUUGUAUUAACUCCUAUGCUUAAUCUGUGCCAUGAACUCCAACUCUGUUUCAUACUGCUUAUCAUAUUCUUUUCUGCAGUGAAAGGAAGGUUCUGUGGAUGAAAAGAACUCAGAAUGCCAUGCCUGGAAGCCCAGAGGCUCAAUGGGACAAAGGAGACUAGUGAACAUUCAGGACAAAUACUGUUAGAGAAGAAGCUGUUGAAUGCCACUCAGCCACCGCUGCCCAUCCCAUAAACACAAACCAGGAACCAAAUCUGAGCUUCAUCCAGAGUCAGUCCGGGAAGUCAGAGCAACAUCUAUUCUCCAUUUUUUUUUAUCAUUAGCAAUUUUAUAGAGAACCAGAACAAUGGCAAUAAGGCAAGUCCUGUUCCUGUCCUCUGGUGGGUCAGAUUCCCUGUCUCUUUCAACCUCAACUUCUGCCCCCACCACUGAGUGUGUGUGGGGGGGGGGUGAGUGUGUAUGGGGGGCAGUUGCAAACAUCAAGUCCACUGAAUCUUGCAUUCCUUCUCAGCCACCAAUGUGGGUGACAUCUAGAUGUAAGAUUAACUCAGAAUAAACCAUUAACCAGAUGUACACGGUAAGAUGCUUUCAAAGUGUACACACAGAUGCUAAUCUACAUCACUGUAACAGGCCCCCACACCUUAGUGUAAUAAGUGCCAAGAAAAACCACCCUGACCCAGACUUGACCUGUAAGACCAAAACCAGGACCAAGAAACAGAAUCCCACCAAUCCCUGAGCUUGCCCCAAGAUCAGGCCACAGAAUCCCACCAAUCCCUGAGCAUGAAAUCCCACCAAUCCCAUGCCUGAGUUUGCCACAGAAUCUGACCUCAUAAUCCCACCAAUCCCUAAGCCUACUCCAAGAUCAGGCAACAAAAAUCCCACCAAUCCAGGUCACCCUGAAAAGCACCCUCCCCAAGAAAUCCUAUGUAAAUCCUGUCUUCUGCUCAGUGCUCUGCUGCUUUGCCCUCCCAAUAAAUCUCUUGUGUGAGGUU